GUCUGGUGGGUAGUUUGACUGGGGCGGUCUCCUCCUAAAGAGUAACGGAGGAGCACGAAGGUUGGCUAAUCCUGGUCGGACAUCAGGAGGUUAGUGCAAUGGCAUAAGCCAGCUUGACUGCGAGCGUGACGGCGCGAGCAGGUGCGAAAGCAGGUCAUAGUGAUCCGGUGGUUCUGAAUGGAAGGGCCAUCGCUCAACGGAUAAAAGGUACUCCGGGGAUAACAGGCUGAUACCGCCCAAGAGUUCAUAUCGACGGCGGUGUUUGGCACCUCGAUGUCGGCUCAUCACAUCCUGGGGCUGAAGUAGGUCCCAAGGGUAUGGCUGUUCGCCAUUUAAAGUGGUACGCGAGCUGGGUUUAGAACGUCGUGAGACAGUUCGGUCCCUAUCUGCCGUGGGCGCUGGAGAACUGAGGGGGGCUGCUCCUAGUACGAGAGGACCGGAGUGGACGCAUCACUGGUGUUCGGGUUGUCAUGCCAAUGGCACUGCCCGGUAGCUAAAUGCGGAAGAGAUAAGUGCUGAAAGC
rnacentral:rRNA from 1 species